GCCAACCGUGCUCAAGGCCGUCCGCGGUGGCCGCAAAUCGAGGCGGCGGCUACAAUUCGAAGCUGCAGAAGACGGAGGCGAAGAUGUCGAGCAUGUGGCCCUGCGCACAAGAGAAUACACUUACUGCCAGAAAAGUUGUGCUCUGAAGGGGUGCGAGGACUGCUAGGGAUGUACAGGGUAUGACACAUUGACAGGGUGCUUCCAAUUGAAUUCACGGAUAAAUAAAACCUAUAUGGCGGAUCGGACAUUCUGUUUCCACUUCUCUACAUCAUGCUGCCCACCGGGCAUGGAUAUUCACCUCCACCAAUUUGAUUGAUCCUAUGUGCUACUGCAGUUUAUCAACUAAGUUUAUACACUGUCCCUUAAGGCCUAAGCCCAAACCGCAUGUUAAUUCCCAACU